rnacentral:lncRNA from 1 species
GAUUUGGCAUUUGGGUUGUCUGGUACAAGGAUCAAUUCAUGAGAACAGUUUCAAAGCUGGUUUUAUGUCUUGAGAAUUGAUGAACUUGGGGCUUGUUGGUUUCUUAAACUCAGAGGUGUUGAAGUUUUUGGCAUCUUUCAUGAAGUUUUCUUCUGAAAUUAGUGUCAAAGUAGAAGAGACAACUAGCAGACUUAUCAAUAUUUGGACGACUGGAUAUGCAGUUUGAACAGCUCCAUUCCUUUGAUAGGAUCUUAAAUAUAGAAAUUUACCUGUCACUUAUAAAAAAAAAAAAAAAAAAAAAGAAAUUUACCUGUCAGAAAAAUGUAAUGUCUUCACUUCUGCACUAGCUUGUUGUUAAAAGGAGUGAUGCGGUUCGAGGUGUGUGCACUAAAAAGACCAGUGAAAUAAAAAAGGGGAAAAAAGGAACAUGGGUUGUGCAUCAAGAAAAUAUCUGUUGGUGUUUGAUUUAUUGAAAAAAAUAGUCCUAUAUAGAGUGGAAUGGCCAAAGAGGCUGCAUAUUGCUGUCCCAAAUAGUUGGAAUGUGAAAUAGUUGAGUUGUACUCAAUAUCGAUAUUCUAUAAUUUUUAAACAUCCAGGUCAUUUAAUUGCAACCUCGUGGUCUCGAGCUGUCUGUUUUGUAUAUAGAAUCUGAUACUGUUAUUAACUUUUGUAUUGUUUUUCUUUUAUUAGGGG